AUGCAGAUAAGAGGCCUGGCUACAGGAGCUGUGGGUGCCUGGUGUGUGGGUUUGUUACACCUCCCCACGAUGGGGGUCAAUUUGGAGUGGCACUGGUCUGGGCCUAAGCUGCAUAACAGGUGUGGUUGGGCAGGAGCAGCUUUGGAACUUGUGCCUGCCAUGGCAGAUUCUCUGUUUGGAUCAGUUCUGGAGAAAAAGAGGGAAAGGAAAACGAAAUGGAAGAAGUGAAGGUGGGAGACAGAAGGUGGAAGUUUAGAGGUAAGUCAGAAUCUUGUAUCAGGGAAGUACCUGUUUCUCAGGAAAGAAGAAAUGGAACUGAAACUGCUAAAAGAUCGUAACACUUUUUGGUGAUUUGGGCUAAACUUGCCUUUUACUGUAUUUUAAAAAUAUAAUGCUUUGGGGCACCUGGGUGGCUCAGUGGGUUAAGCCCCUGCCUCUGGCUCAGGUCAUGAUCUCAGGGUCCUGA
rnacentral:lncRNA from 1 species